rnacentral:rRNA from 1 species
UACGUAGGGGGCAAGCGUUGUCCGGAAUCAUUGGGCGUAAAGCGCGUGUAGGCGGCUGACUAAGUCCGCUCUGAAAGCCCGGGGCUCAACCCCGGGAGGCGGGUGGAUACUGGUCAGCUCGAGUCCGGAAGAGGAGUGUGGAAUUCCUGGUGUAGCGGUGAAAUGCGCAGAUAUCAGGAGGAACACCAAUGGCGAAGGCAGCACUCUGGGACGGUACUGACGCUGAGACGCGAAAGCUGGGGGAGCGAACGGG